rnacentral:rRNA from 1 species
UACGGAAGGCAGCAGUGGGGAAUAUUGCACAAUGGGCGCAAGCCUGAUGCAGCCAUGCCGCGUGUAUGAAGAAGGCCUUCGGGUUGUAAAGUACUUUCAGUCGUGAGGAAGGUGUUAAGGUUAAUAACCUUAGCAAUUGACGUUAGCGACAGAAGAAGCACCGGCUAACUCCGUGCCAGCAGCCGCGGUAAUACGGAGGGUGCGAGCGUUAAUCGGAAUUACUGGGCGUAAAGGGCACGCAGGCGGUUAAUUAAGUUGGAUGUGAAAUCCCCGGGCUUAACCUGGGAAUGGCAUUCAAGACUGGUUAGCUAGAGUCUUGUAGAGGGGGUAGAAUUCCAUGUGUAGCGGUGAAAUGCGUAGAGAUGUGGAGGAAUACCGGUGGCGAAGGCGGCCCCUGGCAAAGGACUGACGCUCAUGUGCGAAAGCGUGGGGAGCAAACGAGGAUUAGAUACC